rnacentral:tRNA from 2 species
ACACCUUUAGCUCAAUGGUACAGAGUAUCAGCCUUCUAAGCUGAAUGUUAUGGGUUCAAAUCCCAUAAGGUGUA